GGCUGGCUGGGCCCGCGGCGGCGGGGGGGUCCGGCGGGCUGGGUGCCCAGGGGCCGGGGCCGGGGCCGGGCGCCCGGAAGGG
rnacentral:miRNA from 1 species